GACGAACGCUGGCGGCGUGCUUAACACAUGCAAGUCGAACGGAAAGGCCCUGCUUGCUUGGUGCUCGAGUGGCGAACGGGUGAGUAACACGUGGGUGAUCUGCCCCUUACUUCUGGAUAAGCUUGGGCAACUGGGUAUAUUACCGGAUAGCACAAUCGUUUAGCGUCGGUUGUGGAAAGUUUUUGCGGUUGGGGAUGAGUCCGGGGCCUAUUAGCUUGUUGGUGGGGUAAUGGCCUACCAAGGCGUCGACGGGUAGCCGGCCUGCGAGGGUGGACGGCCACAUUGGGACUGAGAUACGGCGCAGACGCGUACGGGAGGCAGCAGUGGGGAAUAUUGCACAAUGAGCGCAAGCCUGAUGCAGAGACGCCGCGUGGGGGAUGACGGCCUUCGGGUUGUGAACCGCUUUCGGCAGGGACGAAGCUGUGGUGACGGUACCUGUAUAAGAAGCACCGGCUAACUACGUG
rnacentral:rRNA from 1 species